AAUUUCACCGCGCGUCGAGGGAGUAGGCGGUCGGAGGAGAAGGCGGCGGUUUUGAUCUGUGAUCUGCCUCGACCUGGGAGGUGGCGGCGGUUUCGAUUUGUGAUCUGCCACGGCGUGGGAGGCGGCAGAUCGAUCCGGUCGGAUGCGCCCGCGCUGCUGCGCUGUACCUCCUCCCAUUCGAGCAGAUCGGCUGAUGAGGCAGAUUGGCCGCAGGUGGCGGAUCCGUGGAUAUGAGGUGUUGGAAAUGCGGUUCAGAGUGACGAGAUGAGGAAGCUCAUGUGGCGCUGCUAUCGGAAGGAACAUCUACUCCGCUGGAAUAACACCAACAUAGGAAGAGGCUCUCCAAUAUGAUAUUGAAUCAACUGAUACGAAUACUGUGGCUGAAGCACUUGCAAGGUCCAAGAAGGGUUAGUAAUUAUAUCGCUGCGUGCAUCUUUCCUCACCCUAAUUAGUUCCUUACCAGGAGAUGAGUCCAUGCAUGCAGAGUAUGUCUGGUUCCCAAAAACUCUUGUCACCAGCCACUAUCUACGUAUACGAGUGGUCUAUAUGAUACCAAAAUCUUAGCAUCAAUGUAUCACUGCAAUUUUCUGUGUCAUCUGAAUUUAGCUGCAGGAAUUGUUGUAUCUUUGCCUUUCUUCUUCAUAUUCUACUAGAUCGGUGCUACUAACUGUUUGAGUAUUUCUCAAUUAGACUGAUUGUGUUGUUGUAGUUCUCUGAUUUUGGAAAUUGGAAGACAAAAACAACUCUUCACCCUGAACUUUUUUUAAUUGUACCAUUGCUGUUGGAGAUUUUGGUGCCCGGAAAUAAAGAUAAUAGGAUAUGAUGUACAUACAACAACAUCCAUCCUCACUAACAGUGGUGUUACUGGUUGUGGCUGCACUGCAAUUGCAAAUUCUGUCUACGAGUGGACAGUAAAUCAACAACAAAGCAUGAUAAAGGCAAAUGAUAUGUUUCUUCCUGGCCAGAUGGCAUUUAUUUUACAAUAUGGAGAAUAGAGUUAACAGUGAUAUUCCAACAUUUCUCUUCACAGGAGCAAAGUUGUUUGCCCUGUCCCAGAGGCAAUGAUCAUUGUCAGCGUGGAUGGCUCUGUCUGUACUUGACACGAUUGCCAACAUCAUGUCAUACCUUACACUUGGAUCAUCAGGGAAGGUCUUCAAGAAGAAGAAAUGGAAGAGGUAUACAAAAGGAUUCAAAGAUGAUUAGUACCUGCUUUUCAUGGUUAUUCAAGUCGAGUGCUGAGUGGAUUCUAUGCUAAUCUUAAUCAAAUAGCCAGGACUAAUUAGAGCGGUCCCUACCAUGUAAAUUGUAGUUCAAGGGAUACUUAGUCACUACUAUGUAAAUUGUAGUUGAACAGAUACUCCAUUUGUAAAUGUGCGCACAUGUGCAUCACUCCAGAAUCACUGUUAAUUUGCUAUACAUUCUUAGCCACUGACAGAAGUGCGCUGUCCCUGCAAGAAAGAAAUCACGUUUGCACUGUACAAA